UACGAAGGGGGCUAGCGUUGUUCGGAAUUACUGGGCGUAAAGGGCUCGUAGGCGGCCAACUAAGUCAGACGUGAAAUCCCUCGGCUUAACCGGGGAACUGCGUCUGAUACUGGAUGGCUUGAAUCCGGGAGAGGGAUGCGGAAUUCCAGGUGUAGCGGUGAAAUGCGUAGAUAUCUGGAGGAACACCGGUGGCGAAGGCGGCAUCCUGGACCGGCAUUGACGCUGAGGCGCGAAAGCCAGGGGAGCAAACGGG
rnacentral:rRNA from 1 species